AUUGAACGCUGGCGGCAGGCCUAACACAUGCAAGUCGUGCGGUAGCACAGAGAGCUUGCUCUCGGGUGACGAGCGGCGGACGGGUGAGUAAUGUCUGGGAAACUGCCUGAUGGAGGGGGAUAACUACUGGAAACGGUAGCUAAUACCGCAUAAUGUCGCAAGACCAAAGAGGGGGACCUUCGGGCCUCUUGCCAUCAGAUGUGCCCAGAUGGGAUUAGCUAGUAGGUGGGGUAACGGCUCACCUAGGCGACGAUCCCUAGCUGGUCUGAGAGGAUGACCAGCCACACUGGAACUGAGACACGGUCCAGACUCCUACGGGAGGCAGCAGUGGGGAAUAUUGCACAAUGGGCGCAAGCCUGAUGCGGCCAUGCCGCGUGUAUGAAGAAGGCCUUCGGGUUGUAAAGUACUUUCAGCGGGGAGGAAGGUGCUGAGGUUAAUAACCUCAGCAAUUGACGUUACCCGCAGAAGAAGCACCGGCUAACUCCGUGCCAGCCGCCGCGGUAAAAC
rnacentral:rRNA from 1 species